rnacentral:rRNA from 1 species
CCUACGGGAGGCAGCAGUGAGGAAUAUUGGUCAAUGGGCGCGAGCCUGAACCAGCCACGUAGCGUGAAGGAUGACUGCCCUACGGGUUGUAAACUUCUUUUAUAAAGGCAUAAAGUGAGGCACGUGUGCCUUUUUGUAUGUACUUUAUGAAUAAUGAUCGGCUACCUCCGUGCCCGCCGCCGCGGUAAUACGGAGGAUCCGAGAGUUAUUCGGAUUUGGGUGGUUGAAAGUGCGCGUAGAUGGGUUGUUAAGUCAGUUGUGAAAGUUUGCGGCUCAACCGUAAAAUUGCAAUUGAUAAUGGCAGCCUUGAGUACAGUGGAGGUAGGCGGAAUUCGUGGUGUAGCGGUGAAAUGCUUAGAUAUCACGAAGAACUCCGAUUGCGAAGGCAGCCUACUAAACUGCCACUGACAUUGAUGCUCGAAAGUGUGGGUAUCAAACAGGAUUAGAUACCCCGGUAGUC